rnacentral:rRNA from 1 species
AGUGAACGCUGGCGGUAGGCCUAACACAUGCAAGUCGAACGGCAGCACAGUAAGAGCUUGCUCUUACGGGUGGCGAGUGGCGGACGGGUGAGGAAUACAUCGGAAUCUACUUUUUCGUGGGGGAUAACGUAGGGAAACUUACGCUAAUACCGCAUACGACCUACGGGUGAAAGCAGGGGAUCUUCGGACCUUGCGCGAUUGAAUGAGCCGAUGUCGGAUUAGCUAGUUGGCGGGGUAAAGGCCCACCAAGGCGACGAUCCGUAGCUGGUCUGCGAGGAUGAUCAGCCACACUGGAACUGAGACACGCUCCAGACGCCUACGGUAGGCAGCAGUGGGGAAUAUUGGACAAUGGGCGCAAGCCUGAUCCAGCCAUACCGCGUGGGUGAAGAAGGCCUUCGGGUUGUAAAGCCCUUUUGUUGGGAAAGAAAAGCAGCAGGUUAAUACCCCGCUGUUCUGACGGUACCCAAAGAAUAAGCACCGGCUAACUUCGUG